UUUGCGCUCGGAGGGGGACGCGGUUGUGGAGAGGGCGCCAUACACGGCAUAUGGAGGAGUAUAUGUAAAUCUAUCCAGGGGGUAAUAUUGCACACGCCGCCUGUGGCCCGGAGCACCGACGCGGGACCUUGUGCGGUGGUUCCGUGCUGCUCCAAUGCGGACGGAAUACUGCGUAGAUAUACUAAGCAUGGGAAUUGUGGGAUGGCCUUGCAACGAGGAGCGGCUACAUUUAGCAUCCUCCGAGGUGGCAGGAGCGUGGUCCCAAGACGCAGGAGGCCCGGGGUGUGUGCCAUGCCCUUUUGUGACGUGGAGCGGAGUGCGCGGCGGUUUUGCAUGGGAGGCGCGUGCAGGAGCCUUGAGAGGGG
rnacentral:lncRNA from 1 species